UGGGGAAUAUUGGACAAUGGGGGCAACCCUGAUCCAGCAAUGCCGCGUGUGUGAAGAAGGCCUGCGGGUUGUAAAGCACUUUCAGUUGGGGAGAAAAGCCUGGUGCUAAUACCAUCGGGUCUUGACGUUACCAACAGAAGAAGCACCGGCUAACUCCGUGCCAGCAGCCGCGGUAAUACGGAGGGUGCGAGCGUUAAUCGGAAUUACUGGGCGUAAAGCGCGCGUAGGCGGUCAGGUCAGUCGGAUGUGAAAGCCCCGGGCUCAACCUGGGAAUUGCAUUCGAUACUGCCUGACUAGAGUAUGGUAGAGGGAAGUGGAAUUCCGGGUGUAGCGGUGAAAUGCGUAGAUAUCCGGAGGAACACCAGUGGCGAAGGCGGCUUCCUGGACCAAUACUGACGCUGAGGUGCGAAAGCGUGGGGAGCAAACAGGAUUAGAUACCCCCGUAGUCC
rnacentral:rRNA from 1 species